UACGGAGGGUGCAACGUUGCUCGGAAUCAUUGGGCGUAAAGCGCACGUAGGCGGACUGCUAAGUCGGACGUGAAUCCCUCAGCUUAACUGAGGAAGUGCAUUCGAAACUGACAGUCUUGAGUACAGGAGAGGGUCGCGGAAUUCCCGGUGUAGAGGUGAAAUUCGUAGAUAUCGGGAGGAACACCAGUGGCGAAGGCGACUUCCUGGCCUGUUCUGACGCUGAGGCGCGAAAGCUAGGG
rnacentral:rRNA from 1 species